rnacentral:tRNA from 1 species
GGGGCCGUCGUCUAGCCCGGAAGGACGCCGCCCUUACGAGCCCUGAGCUGGGAGAGGCGGUAGUCCGGGGUUCAAAUCCCCGCGGCCCCA